rnacentral:rRNA from 1 species
AGAGUUUGAUCAUGGCUCAGAAUCAACGCUGGCGGCGUGCCUCAGACAUGCAAGUCGAACGCGAAAGUCCCCUUCGGGGGAUAAGUAGAGUGGCGUCCGGGUGAGUAACACGUAGGUAAUCUACCUUCGGGUGGGGAAUAACCCAGGGAAACUUGGGCUAAUACCGCAUAAUGCAGCGGCACCACAUGGUGACAGUUGUUAAAGCGGGGGAUUUUCGAACCUCGCGCCUGAAGAGGAGCCUGCGGCAGAUUAGCUAGUUGGUAAGGUAACGGCUUACCAAGGCGACGAUCUGUAGCCGGCCUGAGAGGGCGGUCGGCCACACUGACACUGACAUACGGGUCAGACUCCUACGGGAGGCAGCAGUCGGGAAUUUUGGGCAAUGGGCGAAAGCCUGACCCAGCAACGCCGCGUGAAGGAUGAAAUCCCUCGGGAUGUAAACUUCGCAAGAAUGGGAAGAAUUAGUAGGGGUUAAUACCCUCUAUGAUGACGGUACCAUUUGUAAGCUCCGGCUAACUCCGUGCCAGCAGCCGCGGUAAUACGGGGGGAGCAAGCGUUGUUCGGAUUUACUGGGCGUAAAGGGCGCGUAGGCGGUCAGCACAAGUCAGUUGUGAAAUCUCCGGGCUUAACUCGGAAAGGUCAACUGAUACUGUGCGACUAGAGUGCAGAAGGGGCAACUGGAAUUCUCGGUGUAGCGGUGAAAUGCGUAGAUAUCGAGAGGAACACCUGCGGCGAAGGCGGGUUGCUGGGCUGACACUGACGCUGAUGCGCGAAAGCCAGGGGAGCGAACGGGAUUAGAUACCCUAGUAGUCC